rnacentral:rRNA from 1 species
GCGAGUAAUGUCGGGAACUCCAGGGAGACUGCCGGUGAUAAACCGGAGGAAGGUGGGGACGACGUCAAGUCAUCAUGGCCCUUACGAGUAGGGCUACACACGUGCUACAAUGGCGCAUACAGAGGGCGGCCAACUUGCGAAAGUGAGCGAAUCCCAAAAAGUGCGUCGUAGUCCGGAUUGGAGUCUGCAACUCGACUCCAUGAAGUCGGAAUCGCUAGUAAUCGUGGAUCAGAAUGCCACGGUGAAUACGUUCCCGGGCCUUGUACACACCGCCCGUCACAC